rnacentral:misc_RNA from 1 species
GAUGAAGACGCAGCGAAAUGCGAUAAGUAAUGUGAAUUGCAGAAUUCAGUGAAUCAUCGAAUCUUUGAACGCACAUUGCGCCCCCUGGUAUUCCGGGGGGCAUGCCUGUUCGAGCGUCAUUUCACCACUCAAGCCUCGCUUGGUAUUGGGCAACGCGGUCCGCCGCGUGCCUCAAAUCGACCGGCUGGGUCUUCUGUCCCCUAAGCGUUGUGGAAACUAUUCGCUAAAGGGUGUUCGGGAGGCUACGCCGUAAAACAACCCCAUUUCUAAGGUUGACCUCGGAUCAGGUAGGGAUACCCGCUGAACUUAAGCAUAUCAAAAAGCGGAGGA